GACGAACGCUGGCGGCGUGCUUAACACAUGCAAGUCGAACGGAAAGGCCCUGCUUUUGUGGGGUGCUCGAGUGGCGAACGGGUGAGUAACACGUGAGUAACCUGCCCUUGACUUUGGGAUAACUUCAGGAAACUGGGGCUAAUACCGGAUAGGAGCUCCUGCUGCAUGGUGGGGGUUGGAAAGUUUCGGCGGUUGGGGAUGGACUCGCGGCUUAUCAGCUUGUUGGUGGGGUAGUGGCUUACCAAGGCUUUGACGGGUAGCCGGCCUGAGAGGGUGACCGGCCACAUUGGGACUGAGAUACGGCCCAGACUCCUACGGGAGGCGGCAGUGGGGAAUAUUGCACAAUGGGCGGAAGCCUGAUGCAGCAACGCCGCGUGCGGGAUGACGGCCUUCGGGUUGUAAACCGCUUUCGCCUGUGACGAAGCGUGAGUGACGGUAAUGGGUAAAGAAGCACCGGCUAACUACGUGCCAGCAUCCGCGGUGAUACGUAGGGUGCGAGCGUUGUCCGGAUUUAUUGGGCGUAAAGGGCUCGUAGGUGGUUGAUCGCGUCGGAAGUGUAAUCUUGGGGCUUAACCCUGAGCGUGCUUUCGAUACGGGUUGACUUGAGGAGGGUAGGGGAGAAUGGAAUUCCUGGUGGAGCGGUGGAAUGCGCAGAUAUCAGGAGGAACACCAGUGGCGAAGGCGGUUCUCUGGGCCUUUCCUGACGCUGAGGAGCGAAAGCGUGGGGAGCGAACAGGCUUAGAUACCCUGGUAGUCCACGCUGUAAACGGUGGGUACUAGGUGUGGGGUCCAUUCCACGGGUUCCGUGCCGUAGCUAACGCUUUAAGUACCCCGCCUGGGGAGUACGGCCGCAAGGCUAAAACUCAAAGGAAUUGACGGGGCCCCGCACAAGCGGCGGAGCAUGCGGAUUAAUUCGAUGCAACGCGUAGAACCUUACCUGGGUUUGACUUGGAUCGGGAGUGCUCAGAGAUGGGUGUGCCUCUUUUGGGGUCGGUUCACAGGUGGUGCAUGGCUGUCGUCAGCUCGUGUCGUGAGAUGUUGGGUUAAGUCCCGCAACGAGCGCAACCCUUGUUCACUGUUGCCAGCACGUUAUGGUGGGGACUCAGUGGAGACCGCCGGGGUCAACUCGGAGGAAGGUGGGGAUGACGUCAAGUCAUCAUGCCCCUUAUGUCCAGGGCUUCACGCAUGCUACAAUGGCUGGUACAGAGAGUGGCGAGCCUGUGAGGGUGAGCGAAUCUCGGAAAGUCGGUCUCAGUUCGGAUUGGGGUCUGCAACUCGACCUCAUGAAGUCGGAGUCGCUAGUAAUCGCAGAUCAGCAACGCUGCGGCGAAUACGUUCCCGGG
rnacentral:rRNA from 1 species